rnacentral:rRNA from 1 species
UACGUAGGGGCCUAGCGUUGUCCGGAUUUAUUGGGCGUAAAGAGCUCGUAGGCGGUUCGGUAAGUCAGGUGUGAAAUCUCCACGCUCAACGUGGAGGCGCCACCUGAAACUGCCGUGACUCGAGUCCGGUAGGGGAGUGUGGAAUUCCUGGUGUAGCGGUGAAAUGCGUAGAUAUCGAGAGGAACACCUGCGGCGAAGGCGGGUUGCUGGGCUGAUACUGACGCUGAGGCGCGAAAGCCAGGGGAGCGAACGGG